UACGUAGGGUGCAAGCGUUGUCCGGAAUUAUUGGGCGUAAAGCGCGCGCAGGCGGUGAUUUAAGUUUGGUGUUUAAUCCCGGGGCUUAACCCCGGUUCGCAUCGAAAACUGGGUCACUUGAGUGUAAGAGAGGAAAGUGGAAUUCCACGUGUAGCGGUGAAAUGCGUAGAUAUGUGGAGGAACACCGAUGGCGAAGGCAGCCCCCUGGGCUAACACUGACGCUCAUGCACGAAAGCGUGGGGAGCAAACAGG
rnacentral:rRNA from 1 species